UACGUAGGGGGCAAGCGUUGUCCGGAUUUAUUGGGCGUAAAGAGCGUGUAGGCGGCUUUACAGGUCCGUUGUGAAAACUCGAGGCUCAACCUCGAGACGCCGGUGGAAACCGCAAGGCUAGAGUCCGGAAGAGGAGAGUGGAAUUCCUGGUGUAGCGGUGAAAUGCGCAGAUAUCAGGAAGAACACCGGUGGCGAAGGCGGGUCUCUGGGCCGAUACUGACGCUGAGGAGCGAAAGCGUGGGGAGCGAACAGG
rnacentral:rRNA from 1 species